rnacentral:lncRNA from 1 species
AGCCAGCCACCCCAGGAGUGCAGGCUGAGUCCUCUGGUGCCCUCUCUUAAACAACUGGAAGAAGCAGGGCCAGAGUCAGGCCGCUGCUGCUCUUCAGUGAGAUCAGUGCUGCCCGGCAGGGGCCGCUAGCAAUGUUCUGACAAGUCCUGCAAACUCUGCCAAGACAGCAGGAGCCCAGGCCUCACGGAUCUCCAGGGAUCAUUGUGUGUCCUCAGCAGCAGCCUGGCAGAAACACGGAACCACACGCCUGUGUCAGCUUAGUGACUCAGCAAACGGAGAGGCUCUGCUUCCACCGGGGCCCCUCCAGCCGGCCCAUGGGUUGGGUGGUGCUUCCUGGCCCUGCGGCUGUACCCUGACCCUGUUGGGUGCCAUGGCCGCUGGUAGGGGUGGGCGGCCCGCUCUGACUUCAGACCGCAUCCAGAAGCGCCUGCUGCCAUGCAGCAUGGGAAGCCCCCCGCCCCUCGCCCUGUACUUGGUUAGAGAAAGAUCUGGAAGAUACGCAACUGGAAAACAAGGUGUCGCUGGUGGUGAGGAGUUGCUGGCAGGCGAGUACCAUGCCCAAGGCGGGGAGGAAGAGCGUCUAGACUGAAAGUAAACGCACUACCUAAAAGGCGAGAAUGAGUCGUAGCUGAUGGACAAAACUGAGGCCAAGCCCAGGACACAGCCUCUCAGGGGCCCUUAGGGAGGCUCCAAAGAGGUCAGAGAGGAGCCGGAUCCACAGGAGUUUUUGCAACAAAAACCAUGUAGUCGGAACAUCAAAAGAUUAGUUAGAGAAAACCAGGCAUUUCAAGUGAAGGAGUGCAGCGCUUUUUUGUGUGGGGGGAGCUGUGGGUCUGGCUCCCGAAGUCAUUCCUGGACGUGACCCCUCGCCCCCCAGGGCCAGGGUCCUGUGCCUUCCCUGCCUGAGUCCCUGGGAGUGCUGUGGGGACACUGUGGUGGCUUGAUGGCUGCAGCAUCCUUUGUUGACUCACAUGACAGGCGACACUCCUCACUCACAGUGUCGUAAUGACUGGACCUGACAGGCAGUGUGAGCAGGGCUUCCUCCGCCAGCCCCAGAGACUGGUGCGGGAAAGCACGUGGCCGCUGCGGGACCUGCGACGGGAGCCAUCAGAACCCAGUGACUGAGGGCUGUGCCCACGCCUGCAGAGCAUCCUGUGGGCCGGGACCCAGGCACACACUAUAAUGAGAAGAGGAAACUGAUGCUCAGAAAGGCUGAGUCAUUUACCCGGGGCCACACAG